CUUGCUUUAAUGGAAACUGAUCCUACAAAUUUAUUUUCCUGAUGAUAGGGAAGACUCUGUGCUUGCAUUCAGCCAUCUUGUUUUUACCACCUGCACAGGCUAGCCAGACACUGGAGGCUUUUAGAGCUACAGUGCAUCCCCUGAAAUGAAGUAGGGUGACUGGCUGGUGUGUAAGAGGAGUUGCUUGCUGGCUGAAGGCAGCUGCUGCAGACCUGUAGUAAACAUUGUCAUCCCUGGAAUGCAAAGUAAAUGUCCAUCAGCAGUUUGAAAGGAGAAGCAGAAAUCUCAAGGCUGCCAUACCUGAUCUGCAUUGCUAUAUGCUUGUUGUAGAUGUACCUCCCCCUGCUACGCCACAACUAAAAUAUGUAAAUCUUGGUGUGCUGCCAGAUAUUCUAAAAUGGCUGUAAACUUACCUCCCCCCUCCCCCCUUUCUCCCCCCUCUUUUUUAAGAGCUAUAUCUGUGUCCAUAAUUACAAGACAGAGUUAUUUCCAGUCCUUCAUCUGUCAGCAAACAAUCACAUGUGCAUGCUGAAGUAAUGCUUUAGAGUCACUGUUUUGGGUCACGCUGUUUCAAUUCACAGGACUGAGCAUGUUCUGGACCUGAAAUGUAUUGGUGAGGUGGAGGAAUAACUGAAAAAAUGUUUAGAUUUUGCUGCUCGAGUCUUCGUUAACUGGAGUUAUUUAUCAUUUCCACUUGUAGAAGGUCACAACAGACCCAUUUCUAGAAACACAGACCAUAAAUAACUACAAAACUACAGAUAAAUCAAUUGAACUAAUAUCAACUAAAGAUAAUAUAAAAUUCUGCCUACCAAGCACCCUCUCGGGAGAAGCACGGGUAAAUAAAUAGGCUUUGCAGCAUGUCCUGAAUACCAAUAUAACACGUGAAGGAAACAAAUCUCAGAAUCCUGGAGGAUACGUGCCUCCAGCUUAGAGAUGCACAAAGCCAUUUAUUGUCUGAGUGCAGGAGCUCUGAUUUGUUAGAGAAUGGCAAAGACAAGUCCUUGAAUGCAAUGCACAGAAGAUGCACAGUAAACCUGCAUCUGAUGCUUUUCUUAGCCAUGUUACCAGUCUAAAAGUCCCUGUGUUGGCAAAAUGAUACACUGCAGUAUGUUUUGUGUUAGGCACAACAAAGAUGAUGCUUACUUUAGUUUUCUGGACAGCUCUUAAAAUUCUUUUAACCAACAGAAAUAAUCCCAAAUGGUAAAAAUGAUGAACUCUGACAGACUUAGCCCUGAAAGUUACCACCCCAGAUGUCUCCUCUGUCA